UACGGGGGGGGCAAGCGUUGUUCGGAAUUACUGGGCGUAAAGGGCGCGUAGGCGGUUCGCUAAGUUGAAUGUGAAAACUCUGGGCUUAACCCAGAGCCUGCAUUCAAUACUGGCGGGCUAGAGUUCUGGAGGGGAUGGCGGAAUUCCUGGUGUAGCGGUGAAAUGCGUAGAUAUCUGGAGGAACACCGGUGGCGAAGGCGGCAUCCUGGACCAAUUCUGACGCUGAGGAGCGAAAGCCAGGGGAGCAAACGGG
rnacentral:rRNA from 1 species